GCGAGAUGUGGGUGAGAACCCCACAGGCCGUAAACCCAAGGUUUCCAGGGGAAGGUUCGUCCGCCCUGGGUUAGUCGGGACCUAAGCCGAGGCCGAAAGGCGUAGGUGAUGGACAACAGGUUGAUAUUCCUGUACCACCAAUAACCGUUUGAGAAAUGGGAUGACACAGUAGGAUAAGCUAACCGCACUGUUGGUUAUGUGCGGGCAAGUAUUGAGGCAGUUCCGAUAGGCAAAUCCGUCGGAAUAAUGCUGGGGUACGAUGCGGAGCGAAAUUAAGUAGCGAAGUAGCUGAUUUCACACUGUCGAGAAAAGUCUCUAUCGAGGUUAAAGGUGCCUGUACCGCAAACCGACACAGGUGGGUGAGGAGAGUAUCCUAAGGCCAGCGAGAGAACUGUUGUUAAGGAACUCGGCAAAAUGACCCCGUAACUUAGGGAGAAGGGGUGCCUUCGAAAGAAGGCCGCAGAGAAUAGGCCCAAGCGACUGUUUACCAAAAACAUAGGUUUCUGCUAAGUCGCAAGACGAUGUAUAGGAGCUGACGCCUGCCCGGUGCUGGAAGGUUAAGGGGAUCUGUUAGAGCAAUCGAAGCAGUGAACUUAAGCCCCAGUAAACGGCGGCCGUAACUAUAACGGUCCUAAGGUAGCGAAAUUCCUUGUCGGGUAAGUUCCGACCCGCACGAAAGGCGUAACGAUUUGGGCACUGUCUCAACAACAGACUCGGUGAAAUUGUAAUACCGGUGAAGAUGCCGGUUACCUGCGACAGGACGGAAAGACCCCAUGGAGCUUUACUGUAGCUUGACAUUGAGUCUCGGUGCUACAUGUACAGGAUAGGUGGGAGACUAUGAAGCAUGGACGUCAGUCUGUGUGGAGUCAUCCUUGGGAUACCACCCUUGUAGUACUGGGAUUCUAACCAGAGGCCAUGAAUCUGGUCUUGGGACACUGUCAGGUGGACAGUUUGACUGGGGCGGUCGGCUCCCCAAAAGUAACGGAGGCGCUCAAAGGUUCUCUCAGUACGGUCGGAAAUCGUACGAAGAGUGUAAAGGCAAAAGAGAGCUUGAUUGCAAGACAUACAGGUCGAGCAAGGACGAAAGUCGGACUUAGUGAUCCGGUGGUUCCGCAUGGAAGGGCCAUCGCUCAACGGAUAAAAGCUA
rnacentral:rRNA from 1 species